rnacentral:rRNA from 1 species
GAUGAACGCUGGCGGCGUGCUUAACACAUGCAAGUCGAACGAUGAAGCUGGGGCUUUCUCUGGUGGAUUAGUGGCGAACGGGUGAGUAACACGUGAGCAACCUGCCCCUGACUCUGGGAUAACAGCCGGAAACGGCUGCUAAUACCGGAUAUGCACCAUUAAAGCAUGUUCUGUGGUGGGAAAGAUUUUUCGGUUGGGGAUGGGCUCGCGGCCUCUCGGCUUGUUGGUGAGGUAAUGGCUCACCAAGUCGUCGACGGGUAGCCGGCCUGAGAGGGUGACCGGGCACACUGGGACUGAGAGACGGCCCAGACUCCAACGGGAGGCAACAGUGGGGAAUAUUGCACAGUGGGCGAAAGCCUGAUGCAGCGGCGCCGCGUGAGGGAUGACGGGCUUCGGGUUGAAAACCUCUUUUAGCAGGGAAGAAGCGAGAGUGACGGUACCUGAAGAAAAAGCGCCGGCUAACUACGUG